AGGCAGGAGCUUCUGCAAAGAAUGUUCUGCUUCAGCAUUCUUGCCCGGCCUUCAGUCUGCCAACUGGCUUGGUUGACAACGGCUGGUGACCCAAGGAGCUGCUGAUAGACGCGGACUAGCCAUCUCUCAACAACUUCUUGAAUCAGCUAUUUCCACAGGUGUUCGAACGAAGAUGAGUUUUUACAGAAGGCUUCAUUCCUUUUUCCAAAGACUCAUCUCUAGGGAGCACAGAGAGAUCCAUGUGCACAAAGUGCUUGUCCAACCUGUAGCAAUGGAGGCAUGCUCUGACUUUAGCCAGCAAGAACAGGCCUUGCCAGAGAAGCCCCAGAGAAGGAAAUGUUCAUGGUCCAUCCUGUCAGGCAUGAAGAGACUCUGUGUCUGUAGCCAAUCUGACACCUCGAUGGCAGACAGGGAUGAGGAGAGAACAAUUUCCUCACAAAGAAGGUGGAGGCACUUGUCCCGGAAGAAGAUAGCAGCUGAGAACCAGGUGGAGUCAGAGGAGGUGAAGCUGCAGGAGGAUACAGGAAAGUUGAACUGGAUCCUACAGGGACGAAGAAGGAGGCGUCGGAGUCGCAGGGGAAGUGGGAAAAAGGGAGCCCAGAAGAGCAGGAAGAAGAGCGCACUCCCACCCCCUCAUUACCAAGCAGCUCCCAUAUGACCAUGACCCCCGGGGAGCAGCUUCCCUCAGCCCAGCUCCAAGCCCUGCUGAUGAGAGCCGUGAAGGGUCUGACGACACCCACCCUGGAGCGAUUUCAAGCCGCCGAGGAAGAGCUGAGGACCAUCGUGUCUCUACACGGAGACAAGAUGGAGAGAGUUGGAGACGUCGUGGGACGUAUCUUAAUCUGGCUGGACAACGUCUGUCAUCCCAGAGCCAGAAAAGCAGCACUGAGGGCCACGGCCUUGCUGGCUCGUUCCCACCCCCAGGACGUGGUUCUGAGCUGUGUGGCACACACGCUGUCCUCGGACAGAUGUGCCAUUGAGCUGUGGAAGGCCCUGGGGGAAGAACCACAGCUCCCCAGGAGGUGCUGCAGCAGCUGCUGGACAAGCUCCAGCAGAGACACCGGGAGGAGA